CACGGAGUUAGCCGGUGCUUCCUUUGGAGGUACCGUCACCCUCGGCAAGCCGAGUAUUCGUUCCUCCCGACAGUGGUUUACAACCCGAAGGCCGUCAUCCCACACGCGGCGUCGCUGCGUCAGCCUUGCGGCCAUUGCGCAAGAUUCCCCA
rnacentral:rRNA from 1 species